UAAACUUUGCCACCGGGUAAAGAGUUUAAGGUGUUCUGAAACAUUCCAUUAGGUCUUAGAAGGAAUGUUGUCGGAACGCCUUUUUUUA
rnacentral:ncRNA from 1 species